CAGUCCAUGGGAUUGAUUUAUUGCAGUUCUGAAAUUUUACCUUAGUCUAUCAUCUCAGGGGGCCAUCAUUAAAAUCAUUCCUUAAUGUAAUGGUAUAAAUGGGUUCUCCAAUAUUUUAAGGUUUUCUCUGAGGAAGGACUUUCCUGAAGUCUUUGAUGUUUUAUAAUCAGAAGUCUUUUUGAUCUUGCUUGGUUAUACCAAUUUUGCAUAAUAAUCCCCUGCCAAUAAUAAUUCUGUCAUAUGAAAUUGCUCUGCUUUUUGCUUGAUGGUCAUCAAAGAAUAUUUGUUUCAGUCAAAUUAAUUGCCUGUGGUAUAAAUGCAACCAAGGGAUUAAUUUCUAUAAGAAGUUUAAAAGCUGGCUCACUAUUUAAAUUUCAUGAAUCUAUUGGGUUAAAUUUGUUUAAGCCUUUAUUCCCAACCUUGGGGGAGAAAAAAUGUCAUAUCACUUUUCUAAAUUAUCAUUAAUAUGUACCAGAGUUUGGAGAUAACAAAAUAAGAAGUCCAGAUGACUACAGAGAAUAGAAAUGUGUUUGAUUUUCAAGUAAGCUAUUGAUACUUGAGUUGUGCAAUAAAUGAAAUACUUCUGUCUAUGAACCUGAAGAACAUUGACUGAGGAGUCAGAGUUCUGAAUCUCUAUGAGAUCAGUAAUCAGAAGCAUUGUUCUGUGAAAGAGGAUGGAUGGAUGGAUGGUGGAGAAAAAUGGGUUUCAAGCCAGACCCCUGUGUCUUGGUUUACUAAUCUGUUUAUAGGAUUACUGCCUGUGAAGGUUUCAGAUGGGCCAGAUGGCUGCUUCCCAUGGACUGCCCCUGUUCUGCCCUGGCUCUGCUGGGUGUCACUGUCUCUCAUCAGCUACUCUGCACUGCCACUCCUCCUGGCUGCUCUGUCACUGGUUUUCUUGGGCCUUCACUGCCGUUGCUCUCGGGAAGUGCUAGGACUCUGCUGGUACGAAGGCUUUUUGGGAAGCACACUUGCUCCAGUUACAGGACUGUAUCUUUUAAGAAAGAGAGAAGAUGCUUCACUUGCAUUUGAUAUUGAUAACUUUCCAGAUUUUUCAAACUGUUAUCAUAUGGAUCUUGAGAAAUGUAAUCUGCCCUGUAAAUCACCACAAAGGCCUUCAGAAUUAACAAAUCUGAGGACCAAAUCUAUACUGAAAAGAGGUGGGC
rnacentral:lncRNA from 1 species